GCUAGCGUAUAUAAGGGCACGAGAGACUCAUUUCUAUCUCUUCCUCUCAAGUCUUCCGCAAGGAGAAAGAGAAGCCAAGGCAGAACUUCGGAUCAACCUGAAUCGUUAAUAGGAGCCGUAACUUACCUGACCUCUCCAACCAUGGAUCUCUGUAUCGAAUGCAGGUAUUGGGUAACAUUGAAGAUGGAAGCAAGAAACAUGACAAUGACCAGAUCAUUUGCAGGUAUUGGGUAACAGUGAAGAUGGAAGCACCAAACGUGAGACUGACAAGAGCAUUUGCAGGUGACUCUCAUGGCUUCAUCUGAAAGUGACUAGAUGAGUACAUCAGGCAUCAAUCAGUGCACUUCUAUCUGGUAUCCUUGGAAUGCAUGGGCUAUGUACCUUCUUGGCAAGGUCCAGUGACAUGUUGGAGCAGCCUGAAGUGCCGUAUUCGGGGCAUCCCACGACAAAAUUUUGUGAAAGCCGCAGGCAGCCACUGCAGAGGGAUUAAAUGGAUGUGGCUCCAGAGACGCAGGUUGCCUACCCGUGACUUAACUGUUGAUGUAGGGACUGACUGCACAACUAGGAAGGUGUUUUACAUUUCCAUGUUAGUUGAAUCAAUAUUGUUGAAAUAAAAUAAACCAAUUAAUUU